UACGUAGGGUGCGAGCGUUGUCCGGAAUUAUUGGGCGUAAAGAGCUUGUAGGCGGUCUGUCGCGUCUGCUGUGAAAAUCCGGGGCUCAACCCCGGACUUGCAGUGGGUACGGGCAGACUAGAGUGUGGUAGGGGAGACUGGAAUUCCUGGUGUAGCGGUGAAAUGCGCAGAUAUCAGGAGGAACACCGAGUGGCGAAGGCAGGUCUCUGG
rnacentral:rRNA from 1 species